CUUCCUCUUUCCAACCUUACUGCUGGCUGCAAAUGUGGACAACAAAUCCCAGAGGCACCUCACCUGGAAGCAGAAAGAGGAAGUGAUAAGCAACCCUGCAGAGUCCUACUGCUACAAUUCUGGACUGCAAAUCCCAGAGCUCUCGGGGGCAGCAGGAAGAGGAAGUGAACACACAGCCAGAGAGCUGGGCUUCAGUGCCUCCUAGCUUCUGGCCUGAGCCACCGCAGGUAUGUGGCUGUAUUUCCUGAUUCAAAGUUUCACAAAUUCAGACACAAGUUCUUUAAGAGACAGUUUUCCAGCUAUUUCAUGUUCUAUCAACAUGGUGGCCAGUCCAACAAGUCUCUCUUGCAGCAUAGAAGAAUGAAGGGACUUUGUUACACAAUCUAAUACAUUCCACUGUCGGCACUUUCAUGAGACAUUCAGCCAGAAAAGAAGCAGAAAGAGCAAUACAAACUGCAAAUCCAACAUUACUGCCUGCAUUGAAUUUGUCUGAGAAUGUUUAUUUACAUUCAACUGAAUGUCAGUGGGCAUCUGGCACUAACAGGCCUUUCUGGACCAGCCUCUAAAUGUGAAAACAAACAAACCUAGACCUAAAGUAUCUCCCCGAAGUUGGAUCAUUCACUACAAGAGACUGGGUGGCUCAAGGGAAUUGGUAAUGGGAUACUGAAGCCACUCACCUUGAGGUUGCCCAUCUGAAUCCAAUCCAGCUGGAGACGAGCUUUUACUGAACCCUGCAGAACAGCCAUCCAAAUACAGACAGGUAAUCAGGUAACCGGACACACUUGAUACCUACCUGAAAAAAGUACAGGUUGGGUGUGCAGUAUCUAAACUAAUUACUCAAAAAUGAUUGCCUGGAUUUGAGCCAAGUAUUAUCUCACCACUCUUCAGCACUCCUGCGAUGGCAUGAGUGGGACAGAAAAUACAGUAACCUGAGAAGGAGAUAAGAACAAGAGAGAACAGUGAGAAUGCUCUUUGGCUGUGCAGUAGAUGUUCUGUCUCCCCACUGUUCUUUUUCCUGAUCUCACCCUGGGGAAAGCAACCUGUAUGCACCAUUUUUUACCUUUUGAAUAAAUCAACAGCCAGAAUAAAUGUGAGAUACCAUGCACACAUUCAUGCAUGCUCUGUGAACAAAUUUAUUCCACCUCCUGGCUUUCUAUAUCAUUAGGCCCAUCCUAGUAAAAAAGCAGACAUGGUGAUUUUUUUAUACAUCUGGCUUGUUUUUUAUGAAGGGAGCCAUUAAAAGUGUGCCAGCCCAACACCUUUACUUACUACUCGGAUAACUGAUAGUGACUAUAUUCUUCGUUUGUGCUCAAUAAAAUAGGUAAGUAAUAAGUAUUAAUCCAAAGGCCCAUAGGAUACAAUAGAAAGGGAUCUGGUGCUUUCAAUGAGUCUCGGCCUAUGGAAAGUAGCAAAUUUUGUUAUAGGUGCAUGCAGCUAGCCACUCAGCUUUUAAUAUAGCAUAGAACUUCCUUGUAUGAUGCUAGUGUAGGGAUUUGGGGAAAGGUCAGUGAAAGAGUUUAAAGGUGGUUAAAAAAAAAAAAACAAUUUAAAACAUCACUUUACUUUUCCUGUGACCUUGCUAGCAUCUGAAUGUCAGGGUUUCAUGCCAAGGGUUUUAUGUAAGGAUGGAAGAACUCGUUGGCCACAUUCAAAAUUCAUUUGCAAAGCCUGGAUUCUGUAUUUAACCUAGAAUUAGAACCUUUUGAAGUAUUUGUGGAGGAAGACUUGGGGAGUAGGGGGCUCUUUAAUCUUGAAAGUAAAGCCAAUAACAAUCUAGGGACUGAAAGGUACAGACAGUAAAGUCCAACUGGAAAUAAAUUCCAUGGUUUUAACAAUGAGGGUAAUGGGAUCAGCUUACACGAAGGAGGGAAUGAAUUAUCUGGGUAAAAUUCUGGUUCUAUUGAAAUUUGUUUUGUUGUUGACUUCAGCAGAGCCACGCGUUUACCCUCCGUCACUUGGAGUUUUUAAUCAGAUGGGUGUCUUUGGCUAAAAGCAAACCUUGCAUUUCAGGCAGUUCUGGUUGAUCCCAGUCAAAGCUUGGGAAGAAAAAGAGCAGCAUGGUCCUUUACACAGGAAGCUUGUCCCCAAAAUGAAAGGCAGUUUGACUUAAAUGAGCCAUGAUUGUCCCAAGAAAAAGUGUUAGCUCAUUUUAUCUCGUAUACCUCACAGGUAUCUAAAGUGGGACAAUGAGCUUGUACGUCUGUAGAAUCCCAAGACAGAAGGCUUUCUCCUGGGAGAAAUCCAACAUGUGUUUUUAUCCUUUCUAAGACAGUGGCCAUACAACAUGAUUUACCCCAUGAUAUACCCCAGAUUUUACUGCAUAGUGAACACAGCCCUUACAAGCUGGCUGUUUAUCGUAGGCAAAAUUACAGUGUCUGGCCACUAGGUACCUGGGUAUCUGUUUUUUAUUGAGCAGAUUCUGGGGAUGAAAUCAACUAUGGGAGCAGACAUGUGACCAAUGCACUGUUCUCAGUUACCCAUUGUACAGUUACUCCUCACUUUACGAAGGGCAACUUUACGCAGGAAUGGACUGGCUAAUAUUGGUGUAAGGCUGUAUGUCACAUGUCCACUUCACUUUCAGCAUUAUUUUCAUGGACAAAUAUGAAUAUAAAGGAUAUGGACAUAAAUAUGAAUAUAAAGGACUAGCCCAGAAUAGGGAAUACUGGCCGUGUCUAUAUGAGACGCUGACCAGAGUUACUACGCAGUAGCAUUGCCAAAUGGCUUUUUUGUGACACUGACUGCACAGUAGCCUGAGGCUACCAUGUAGUCGUAUCAUGUCAUGCUUCCUGCCACGUGAUGCAAUGCUACUGCAUGGUAGUCUCAGGCUACUGCACAGUCAGCAUCACGAAAAAGCUGUUUGGUGACACUACUGUUUAUACAAGUACUAAAUGAAUGUGCAUUAACAUCUGUGUAAUCAGCGUCUCAUGUAGACAUGGCCACUGUGGAGUUCCAAAACCUUUUUAUCUUCAUAUCCCUUCACAAUAGAGGGAUGUAAUCAAAUGAAGGGUUCUAUCCCAAAUAAUUUAUUUAGUUUUUCCUGAGAAUGUAAAAGAAAUACUUAAUUUCACUCUAAAACUUUAGCGAUGUAUUUUUUCCACCCAGUGUAUUUCUUUUUAAAUGUAUAAAGAAAGUGGUGCUAGUGAAUGGUGCUUUAAUGGCUGCACUGGAAACUGUAGUCUUUAGAAUGGAUUCAUUACCAUUGUUUGUCAGUAUGUCUUCCUAGUGCCUAAUUUCUAUGCAGUGUGGAGUUCAGACUGAGGAUUGUAUGGGGUUUGCCCUGGUUCUCCUUUCAGGAUCUCAGCAGAGUUACACCACAGAGACCCCAUCUAGAGGUCAGAAAGUAGAUCAGUUUUCAUCUUUGAGCUCUAUGUUGACCCUGUAAGCAAAUGCUGCAAUUAGUGCCCAACAUAAAAGUUUGGUUGCAUGUGAAUAAGGAAAAGGAGAAGACUUGUUAUAAAAUUGGGGCUUUUUAUAAGAACUAAGCUCUCAUUUUUAUUUUUAUUUUUUUUAAAACAAGGCCUGAUCGAAAAGGCAUUGAAAGCAGUUUAAAAAAUAACAUUGUCUGCAGGCAUCUUUAGUUUUAACCCCAUGGAUUUUGAGGGAAACAAGCUUAGAAAAUAAGAAUCUUUUAAAUGUGACUCCAAGCUAAAACUGAACAAAGGCUACUUACUCUAGGAUUAAAAUAACCUGCUUACUUAUACUGCACAUUAGCUUGCCUGCUCACUCCUUCCUUCCUCUCUUCCUCUCUUUCUCUCUCUUUCUCUUUCUUGUCAUCUUUGGUGGUCAUCUGAAUUCUCAGACAAAGGACCCCAAUGUGCUGUACAUGCCUGCUCUUCUAAAGCGAACUAGCAGCCAAAAUUGCCUGUGACCUUUCCCAUGAGCAUGAGCAGAAACCUCUCCUUGAGUGAGAUAAAGAAAUUAGAACUUCAUUCUUCCGUGGUUUACUCCUAGGAAUGCUUCUUGGCAAGAUGCUAAGAAUAAACCAGUUAUUGAAAAAGGGACCUGGGAAGUUGACAAGCAUGGCUAAGCCCAGCAAGGAAAUUUGAUGAGGAAAUAAGAUGCUUUGUAGAUCAGCGUGUAGUGAUUAGUCUUUUGAAAGCUGGGAUUAUUAUAUAAGCAAAAAAGGAGGGGGUGCUUAUUGUAUCUGACAGCUACCACUUAUACAGGUAUUCUUCCAACUAAUGAGAAACAUAAUGGUGUAUUUGUUUAUAAAUCUUAAACGAAACCUCUGCUUUUUCCACAGGCCAAUUAAAUGUGAUGGAAAGCUAAAGAUAACUUUCCUUUUUUUCUCUCCCCCUUCCCUCCCUGACCUAAAAUCACAGCCCUGAGCACAAGUGUAAGAAAACCAGCAAAACUCUUUCCCCAAGACUGGCAUGCUGCCUGAAAUCUCAGAAUCGAUGCUCACUGUGAGAGAAAAUGUUUAUUUUAUAUUUCAGAUGCAAAAACCACAUUCAGUAAUAAUGCAAACACAUUACAUGGAUGAUCAUGGAUGGUCUGGAAAUCAAGGCAUGACAAUACAACAUACUUGACAUCCUGCUAUAUAGAAGCAGCACUGUUGGGUAAAAACAAACAUGCAAACAGCAGAGCAAUCAAUGCUGUGAAUUUUCUAAACCAGGGAUGGCUAACCUGCAGCAUGCAUGGCACAAGUGACGCAGGCAGCCUGUGUAUGUGGCAGGUGGCAGACCAGAAAGCAGGCAGUACAGGAGCACAUAGGACAUGGAGUAGAAAACAAGAGAAGCAGAUAGGACAGGAAGCCAAUCAGGAAAGGGAAGGGGAUGAGAAUGGCACUCUGGGAGGGUCUGAGGCUAAUUUGGGGCACGCCAACCCAAAAGAUUGCCCCUUACUGUUCUAAACCCUCCAGAUUUCACAGGGUUUAUGAACACAAAAGAUGCUCCAAGGUCUAAAAGGUGCUGUUAAAACCUACAAAUAUCUGGUUAUGCAAGAGUUGUGUCAAUUGGUUCCUUGCUGCUUCAUGAGUGACUAAUUUUCCUUUUGAAAGCAAUGUAAUCUGCAUACACCAAAGAUAAAAGAUAAUACACAAUGAUCACUUUUCUCUCUCUCUCUCUCUCUCUCACACAUGCACAUGUUAUAGCUGAAGCCAAUAGGCUGGAUAUUGGGGUUAGGGAGGGUCUCCCUGGCCCCUCUUCCCCACAUCUCCAGUUGCCGGACUGCCUGUUGACAACCUGCCUGCUUCUCUUCCAAGCGAGAGGGCAGGCUGUCGAUCAGUGAGCUCUCUUAUGGGCAGCGGUUACCCAAGGAACAGCCUGCUAGUGCCCCCUGGCUGGAGAGUUCACGUGGGUAGCUGUCCAGCCAGGGGCCUGGAGCCACAUACACUCCAACUUCACCAAAAUUCUUUUCACUAAAAAUGAAUCCCUGUGCAUGGCUGUAGACUCAAGUGUACUCCUCUGAGAAGCUGGUUGGUUUGAUUUGAACUAAGCUAUUUUCAGCUUCACUUGACUCUGUUGGAUACUCUUAUGUUAGCUUAAUUUUCUGUAUGCUGAUCUUGUUAGCUAAGACCGCGCAAAAUCAGUUGUGGGCUAGGGAGUUUUCAGUCUUUUUUUUUUCACUUAUGGACAAGCUAAUCUGCGUGUGGAGAAGGAAAGGAAACUUUAACAUAAAUCUGUUCCUCUUUUUACCUGGGGCAUUAAUUUUAGCAAAUACCAUAGAAACAAAAAAGUUUACUUACCCAAGUACCAUUUUCAUUGUUCAACUGAAAUAUCUGUGGUACCUGAUUUAAAACAAACCAAAGCCAUAAAAACAAAAAAGAAAAAAACCCCAGUAUAUUCCCACAUAGCAACAUGCACACGGUAGGCGCGUCUCAUGAGAUGCUACAUCGCCAUAACAAUGCUCUAUGAUGACAUAGCAUUGGUAGGAACAAACCAUGAUGCCAUAGCCAUGUGCUCCCUCACUAUAGUACGUUGCUACAGUGACAUAGCAGCUAAAAAUAACCAUGCACUGCCAGCAUGGCACAGUAAUGGCUGUUUUUUCACUAUCAUUUUGGACUUCCUUUUAAAGGAGGUACUAAAUGACAGUGCAGUAACAAUGGUGCCAGGGGGCAUGUGUAGACGUCCGAGUGUGAAGUAUAGCAUCAGCCAUAUUGAGUACCAGUCUCCUUUUUGGGGGCACACAUAUUGGACUCUCCAAAAUUAUGUCCUCCCUUUAGACCUGAAAAAUGAAUUGCAGAGAUCAUUUGAAUUUUUUUAUGAUUCUCUCUGCCUGAUAUGACAUAUGAACUUUCAUUUCUACCUGGGGGAACGUUUAUAAUCUUUUCACCUAUGCCUAAGGAAGGGUACUUGUGCCUGAAAGCUUGCAAUUAAAGAUUUUUUUUUUCCAAAAAUCUAGUUGGUCUAAUAAAAGAUAUCACUUCUACCAUGAGUUCUGAUUCCUCUCUGCCUGAUAUUCACUUUCAUUCUGGUAACUGAAAGAGCAAGAAUUUAAUUACAAUUAAAUUUUGCAGCUGAAGCUUGCAUCCACAAAACAAAAUACACAGUCCUUCUGAAAAUGUACCCAUAUAUAUUUGGAUGGAAGAUAUAGACUUCCUGCACAAGAUGAUUUUUGGGGAGGGUCUGCAUUCUGGCACCACCUGCCAUUUGUGGUCCAGGUUUAGAUCCUCAGAUCAGCAGUUUGCUAAACAUUUCAGUGGCAGCCAAUAUUUGUUUGGAAUCAGUCCACCCUGCUCUGUUCCUUUAAGCAUCGUAAAGUUUUCUGUUCAGUACUACAUUAUACAGCCUACACUCUACAUUGCUAUAAAUAACAAUGUAAGGUUUAAAGAAGUGGAGUAUCAGUUUUUAUACACACACAUACAUAAUCAGUGGUUCAAAUGUUGCUCUAAUUCUACUUCCCUGCAAAUCUGGUAUAACUGUAUCAGAAACAAGCCCUCUAUGCAGAUGAUGUUGUUUCUUUUAGAGUUUCUAACAUGUUCUCAGACAAAUAUCCCUAACUUUGUUGGCAAUUUUUAAAACAUAUGCCAUGAACUAUUUAUAUAAUGGACAUUCUGGAUAAUUAAAGAUGUAGAGUCAAGUGUAUGUUAUGGAAUCCUAAAAUUAUUUUAGUCAGAGACAACGUCUGAUGUGUUGAUAGUAUCUCAGAGCCAAACCAAGAUAUUCUGGGGGGAGGGAGGUGAUUGUGUUGAUUUUAACUAGUAAAGCCAGUGCCUCAGACAUCUCUUAAGACUACACCCUAAAAUUAUACCCGUUGUUUAUUUUUUGCUGUUAAUGCUAUACUGUAAAGUAUAAAGCGUUUCCUUUUAAUUGGAUUCCAUAACUAUUGUCUUCUUUUAAAACCAUUGUAUUUCUUGUCUAUAGUGUCUCUCAGUCACUAGCGAAAGAUUUGUUUUUUAGCCAGAUAACAAGACUUUUUAUAAACAUCUUCAA